AACGCUAGCGGCAGGCUUAAUACAUGCAAGGUCGAGGGGCAUACGAAGGUACACGAAAGUGUAUUGUUGGCGACCGGCGGACGGGUGAGUAAUAGGUAGGUAACCUACCUCAUACUGAGGCAUAGCUGGGAGAAAUUCCAGGUAAUUCCUCAUGAGGUUAUAUGACACAUGUGAUAUAAUCAAAGGUAUCGCAAGGUACUGGUAUGAGAUGGGCUUACUGACCAUUAGCUAGUUGGUGAGAUAAGAGCUCACCAAGGCGAAGAUGGUUAGGGGUUUUGAGAGAGAGAUCCCCCACAUUGGAACUGAGAUACGGUCCAGACUCCUACGGGAGGCAGCAGUAGGGAAUAUUGGGCAAUGGGCGGAAGCCUGACCCAGCCAUGCCGCGUGAAGGAAGACGGCCUUAUGGGUUGUAAACUUCUUUACUAUGCGACUAACUAGAUUUACGAGAUAAUUCUAUAGAAUGUAGCAUAGCAAAAAGCACCGGCUAACUCCGUG
rnacentral:rRNA from 1 species